rnacentral:rRNA from 1 species
GGGGCAACUCCCUUAGUAAAGCGGCGCACGGGUGAGUAACACGUAGGUAACCUACCCCCGAGCCCGGGAUAACCUACCGAAAGGUGGGCUAAUACUGGAUAUGACCACGGGAAUCUCGGUUCCUGUGGUGAAAGGUGGCCUCUGCUUGCAAGCUACUACUCGGGGAUGGGCCUGCGCGCCAUUAGCUUGUUGGUGAGGUAACGGCUCACCAAGGCGAUGAUGGCUAGCUGGUCUGAGAGGAUGAUCAGCCACACUGGGACUGAAACACGGCCCAGACUCCUACGGGAGGCAGCAGUGGGGAAUAUUGCGCAAUGGGCGAAAGCCUGACGCAGCGACGCCGCGUGGGUGAUGAAGGCCUUCGGGUCGUAAAGCCCUGUCGAGGGGGAAGAACCGGUGGAGACCCAAUACGUCUUCGCCCUGACGGUACCCCUAAAGGAAGCACCGGCUAACUCCGUGCCAGCAGCCGCGGUAAUACGGAGGGGGCAAGCGUUGUUCGGAAUCACUGGGGCGUAAAGCGCGUGUAGGCGGUCCGCUAAGUCUGAUGUGAAAUCCCGAGGCUCACCCUCGGAAGUGCAUUGGAUACUGGUGAGAUAGAGUCCCGGAGAGGAGGGUGGAAUUCCUGGUGUAGCGGUGAAAUGCGUAGAUAUCAGGAGGAACACCGGUGGCGAAGGCGGCCUUCUGGUCCGAUACUGACACUGAGAUGCGAAAGCGUGGGGAGCAAACAGGAUUAGAUACCCUGGUAGUCCACGCUGUAAACGAUGAGUACUAGGUGUUGGAGGUAUUGACCCCUUCAGUGCCGCAGCUAACGCAUUAAGUACUCCGCCUGGGAACUACGGCCGCAAGGCUGAAACUCAAAGGAAUUGACGGGGGCCCGCACAAGCGGUGGAGCAUGUUGUUUAAUUCGAGGCAACGCGAAGAACCUUACCCUCCCUUGACAUCCAGCGAACUUUCCAGAGAUGGAUUGGUGCCUUCGGGAACGCUAAGACAGGUGGUGCAUGGCUGUCGUCAGCUCGUGUCGUGAGAUGUUGGGUUAAGUCCCGCAACGAGCGCAACCCUCGGAUUUAGUUGCCAUCAUUUAGUUGGGCACUCUAGAUCGACUGCCGGUAACAAACCGGAGGAAGGUGGGGAUGACGUCAAGUCCUCAUGGCCCUUACGUCCAGGGCUACACACGUCCUACAAUGGCCAAGACAAAGGGUUGCAAGACCGCGAGGUGGAGCUAAUCCCAAAAACUUGGUCUCAGUUCGGAUUGCAGUCUGCAACUCGACUGCAUGAAGAUGGAAUCGCUAGUAAUCGCGGAUCAGAACGCCGCGGUGAAUACGUUCCCGGGCCUUGUACACACCGCCCGUCACACCACGAAAGUCGGUUGUUCCAGAAGACGCCGCGCCAACCCGUAAGGGGGGCAAGCGUCCACGGUAUGGUCGGUGAUUGGGGUGAAGUCGUAACAAGGUAGCCGUA